rnacentral:lncRNA from 1 species
UGCGCAAAAAUUUGACAAAAUAUAAAACAAAAAUUAAAGAAAAUUAAUAAAAAUAAUACUGAUGACUUUGGGGUCUUACAAAAGCGUGGGUUAACAAAUUAAACAUUUGGGUUAACAACGAAAAGUUUCAAUCGACUGCUCCAAAUCGGACACUUUGGGCCUCCGAUCUUCAAAUCAGUGCUACGAAACUAUAAAUUUGUGCUGCAGUGCAUCCCAAAAUUAACAAAAACUUCGCACCAGUGUCGACUGCAUCUCAAAUCGGUGCUCCGACUAUCGCACCGACAACCAGUGCUCCAAUCGACUACUGCUCCGACUAUGAGUGCUUCGACCUCUUUUGAUUGAACUCUAGUUGUCUAUUGAAAUGGGUAUUCAUGAUUCUUGCAGCUAUUUUGAUUUGUGGAAAUACUUGCAAAGUGCCAUUGGAUUUUAGUGCCCUAAUUUCUAGCUUCUAACAGUAUUUUUAUGCUUAUGGCAAAGACUAAGUUAGAAGUGUAGCUGAGAAUUCUUUUGUAAUAGUAUUAGGCAUGAAAAUAUCAUAAUUCGAAGGCUGGUAUUAAUUUGGUUCUCUUUUGUUCUUUACGGUUGGUUCUUUGCAACAUUGUUUGUAGAAUAAGUGAAGGAAGUUUUUCCCUAAUGCAAGUGGCUGAUAUACGGUAAUGCCCGGAGGUGCGUUUGGUAGGUAAUCCAUGGACUGGUACUAACAAUAUAAUAGUUUAGGGAGGAAUAGAUUUAGUAGAGAUACAGUUUCGUAACCAGUAUAAUUAAGUGUUGCGAUAUUUACUUACCCGGCUAAUAGAAUAUUGGGCAUGACUGUAGCUCCAAAUGCUGCUUUCUUGACUGGUUUACUUGACCCAAUCGCAG